AGAGAGAGAGAGAGAGACAGAGAGAGAGAGAGAGAGAGAGAGAGAGACGCCGAGUCACCUACGUCUCGUGCUGCGGAGCUCCAUCAUGUACAUUUCGGGUUAUACGCAUUACUCAUAAAUAGGAUAAAUCGCAUUACGCACAUAUCUACUACGGACUCGUUCGAUACAUGGCCGGAUAAAUAGAUAGAGAGACACGCAGCGCUAGGCGCGCGCGCGCGCGAGAGAGAGAGAGAGAGAGCGAGAGCGAGAGCGAGAGCGAGAGCGAGAAAGCGUAUACAUGUAGCCGCCGCACGAACACACGCUCACAUCGACAUGUACGGAAGGUUAGUCCACGAGGGCCAGGCCGAGUCUCUCCGCUGUAUUGACGCGCGGCGUUCAGGCUUGCGCGAGAUGACGCAAUCUCCUCCCUCCCACUGCCGCUCCGUGCCCGACUCCCCUUUGCCGCUCCUUGCCCCUCGUUCCGCCAGCUCAGCUGCGCCCUCCACUCCGCCGGUGCUCCCUUCCGCGCGCAGGUCUCUCGCCGCCCGCCUCGCCCCGCGGCGCCCACAAGUUCAAUGCCAAGGUCAAAGCGACCACGACUCGCAGCCGUGUCGGUCGCGCGCGCGAUAUUCGUUCGUCCUCGAGGAGGCGAGUGCGUCCCGCUCGGUUCGAUCGCUCGCUCGCUCUUGGUGUGUACCGGCCGUGUCCCUUUUUCCGCGUCUCACUCGUCCGCUCUUUCUCGACGACGGCGCGACUCGGUUCCGUCGCGGGAGGAGAACGAGACGCGCGGCGUCGUUUCGCACGUCAUCGUCGUCGUCGUCGCCGCCGCUUCGCCUCGCCUCGCUUCGCCGUGCGGCGGGCCGCGCGGAAUAUCGACGCGACGUUUUUUGCCAGACGUUCAUUUCCCUCUCGUCGUUUGCGCGCCGCGUACGUUUGUCUCCCGAGCGAUCGUUAGCGGGGCCGGUCUGUGAUGUACGACGACGGCGGCGGCGACCGUGUGCGACGUAUACGCGAUCGUCGGAGUGUCUGCUCGCAGGUGAGCCUUCUUGUGUUCAACAUGCCGAACGUCGCCCACCUUGACGACGACGACGACGACGACGACGAUGUGCGAGCGGACAUUUUGAAUACGCGACGUCGGAGUGCCGUGACGGGGGAAUCUUGAGGCGACUUUUAACGGGCGCGCAGCGUAGUCCGUUUAGAUGCUUUUGGCGUCGCCGCCGAGCGUUCUCAAGUGCGACGUCGUCGGAUCGCGUGAAUUUUGGGAGAGUUUCCUGCGUCUCUCUCUCUCUCUCUCUCUCUCCCUCCCGCCCUCCCGCCUCUCCUCCCUCCAUCCCUCCUCCGUCUCUAUCUCUCUUCCUUCCUGAACACGGCACCGACGUCGCUCGGCGGUGAGGUAGAUGUGUGGGCGUGACGAGGAGGGAGAGAUAGAGAAGGAGGAGGCCAGCGCGGGGCGAAAUCGGCGGGUGUCGCUUCGUGAUCUCGUGAAUCUUCUCCACUCGGGUGGAAAAGGCGACAAGGUCGGCCGCGCGCGCGACACACACAGGUGGAUCCGUCCGGAAGAGAGCAGUCCGCGCGCGGAAGCCAUCGUGUCGCCUCGAGAAACCGCGUCACGCAGGCCAAGAUGGCGGCGGCGAAUUUCGGACAGGACCUGAACGGACGCUGCGCACCGAGGUGCCAAAUUCCGUCUCGUGCUGGCCACCACGUUGCGCGAGGACGGUUAUCCUGACGGAAACGAGUGGAACGCCACGGAACAAGAAGGCGGUUCCAGGGCGGAUAGUUUUGAGUACGUCAUGUCUGGCAAGGUGUACCGGAUCGAGGGCGACGAAGCUAGCAACGAGCCGAGCAGCAGAUUGUAAG